rnacentral:rRNA from 1 species
AUACGGAGGAUGCGAGCGUUUUCCGGAUUUAUUGGGUUUAAAGGGUGCGUAGGCUGUGCGUUAAGUCAGGGGUGAAAUGCCGUCGCUCAACGACGGAGCUGCCCUUGAUACUGGCGUGCUGGAGUACGGAUGCCGUUGGAGGAAUGAGUGGUGUAGCGGUGAAAUGCUUAGAUAUCACUCAGAACACCGAUUGCGAAGGCAUCUGACGAAUCCGUCACUGACGCUGAGGCACGAAAGCGUGGGGAUAGAACAGGAUUAGAUACCCUGGUAUUCCACGCCGUAAACGAUGAUGACUAACCGUCGGCGAUAGACAGCCGGUGGCCAAGCGAAAGCGAUAAGUCAUCCACCUGGGGAGUACGUCGGCAACGAUGAAACUCAAAUGAAUUGGCGGGG